ensembl:lncRNA
CUCCUAGCUCUGUACAGCAAAAGGACACAAAAGCACUUGUAAAGUUCAAUUUUAACGGUAUUAGGGGCAAACCUACCAAUCUGCAUUGAAAUCCUUUGGAGCACAUUAAAGGAAUGGAGUACAUGGAGGUAAGGGGGAGGCUUCUCUAUAAAAUCCAUGAGUUUAUAUUCCUUCUUUGUCCUUUGUGAAUUGUGAAAGCCCACUGAAAGGUUAUGUCACUCACUGUGUCUUCUCCAAGCUUGUUUUCCACAUUGCCUGCUCCCAUUUCUUUCCAGCUACCUUAGCACAGUACAACUUCACCUUGGAGUCUGGCUUGGAUUGUAUUCACUGAGAAAUUGAGUUGCAUGGAGUUGUAUUGGCAUCCAGCAGAAGUUCCAUAGCUGUGCUGUGGUGCAAGAACAGGGCAGGUUCAGGAGCGGCUUUAGAUGCACAAAUAACCUAAAGCAUCCCCUGUGUUAUCUGUGUAGCAUUCUGCAAGGGCUGUUAGUCAACAUCAUUUUCUCUGAGUUAAAGUCAGCCUCAGUGGGGGAUAGGAGGAAUGAGGAUCUUAAGACAGGUCUGGUAGUGUAAGAACAGGUAGGCCUAUGAGAAGCCAUGUACAGAAAUUGGAACAGAAGUUUUAGUUGACCCAAAGAUUACAGAACAAGGAGUAGGUGUCAACAGAGCAACUAGGGCUCAUCAGUGCUGUGGUAGUCCCCGAGCAGCCCUGAAGGAGAAUCUGUCCAGACGUCCAUCAGCUAAGGGAGUGAAAAUGUACUAUACGGUGGGGCCAUUCCAUGGAUUAUGACUCAGUGUAAGAUAGUCCAUGCAAGCAUUUACUUACUUACUCAAAAUAUCUGUGACACAAUCACAUUAUGGGGAGAAAAACUGUUCAUUUGUAUCCUGGGUAUGGAGAUUUCCUAUGAUUCUGUUCCAAUAGCCUUGGGCACGAAGUCAUUCAAGUUAAGGUAAAGAGAGCUGCUAUUAGAAGAAGCUGCACACUUUGGGGGCAAGCCUGAAACAGUGGCCAAGAACAGAGUCUAAUCCACCACCAACAUAUGAUCCUUUGCUGGGAAACAAGCCUGAUCUACACAGCCUUGGGAACGAGCUAAGCCAGAUUGGGGAAUAAGAAUAAGGAAGGAUUAGAGGAAACAAUGCAGGACACUCUGAAGCAGAGAGAACUGAUCACCCAGGAAAGUGACUUGGGAGAAACAGUGUAGAAGAAUUGUGACAUCUUUGAGAUCAGUACUGUGCAUAGUCCACAGUUCGAUUUCUAGCUGUUUUUAAAAGCUGAUAUAUAAAUCGAAGCCCAUUUACU